rnacentral:SRP_RNA from 1 species
GCCGGGAGCAGUGGCGUGGGCCUGUAGUCCCAGCUACUCGGGAUGCUGAAGUGGGAGGAUCGCUUGAGCCCAGGAGUUCUGGGCUGUAGUGCGCUAUGCCGAUCAGGUGUGCGCAGUAAGUUCGGCAUCAAUAUGGUGACCUCCUGGGAGCAGGGAACCACCAGGUUGCCUAAGGAGGGUUGAACCGGCCCAGGUCAGAAACAGAACAGGUCAAAACUCCCAUGCUGAUCAGUAGUGGGGUCUUGUCUGUGAAUAGCCACUGCACUCCAGCCUGGGUAACAUAGAGAGACACCAUUUCU